AAGUCGAGCGCGCCCUUCGGGGUGAGCGGCGGACGGGUGAGUAACGCGUGGGAAUAUGCCCUUCUCUAAGGAAUAGCCUCUGGAAACGGAGAGUAAUACCUUAUACGCCCUUCGGGGGAAAGAUUUAUCGGAGAAGGAUUAGCCCGCGUUAGAUUAGGUAGUUGGUGGAGUAAUGGCCUACCAAGCCUACGAUCUAUAGCUGGUUUGAGAGGAUGAUCAGCCACACUGGGACUGAGACACGGCCCAGACCCCUACGGGAGGCAGCAGUAGGGAAUCUUAGACAAUGGGGGCAACCCUGAUCUAGCCAUGCCGCGUGUGUGAUGAAGGCCCUAGGGUCGUAAAGCACUUUCGCCAGAGAUGAUAAUGACAGUAUCUGGUAAAGAAACCCCGGCUAACUCCGUGCCAGCAGCCGCGGUAAUACGGAGGGGGUUAGCGUUGUUCGGAAUUACUGGGCGUAAAGCGCACGUAGGCGGGAUUAGUAAGUUAGAGGCGAAAUCCCAGGGCUCAACCCUGGAACUGCCUUUAAUACUGCUAGUCUUGAGUUCGAGAGAGGUAAGUGGGAAUUCCGAGUGUAGAGGUGAAAUUCGUAGAUAUUCGGGAGGAACACCGGGUGGGCGAAGGCGGGCUUACUGG
rnacentral:rRNA from 1 species